rnacentral:sRNA from 1 species
GGCAACGACCCGAAGGGUGAAGCGCGCAGCGCUGAGUAAUCCUUCCCCCACCACCA